rnacentral:lncRNA from 1 species
AGAUUAAUAAUUGUUCAUGCUAAAAUUGGUGAAAUGUAUGGGUUUCAUGAAUAUCUGAAUACUCAAACAGUACAAGUUGUGCUGUAAUAGUGAACUGGAUUCUGAGCAGAAUCAGGUCCUCUCACUGCAGGUUCUGGCCUCAUAAAAGGGACGGCUGAAGCAGCAGCACUUGAAUUUUGAAUCAUAGCUGCAGCGCUUGGCAAACCUGAACCCACACCCAAACUGGGUCACAAUGGAAUGGCAUCUGCAUAGGUGCCUUGGAACAUUGCAACAUUAAAUGUACUUGGGUCUCAUCAUCAGCUUUGGACAUGUCCACAUGUUGGAAAGCAACCAGCCUUCUUCUUUUGCAGGACUCUUCUUGACCAGCCACUCCUGUCCCGGGCCAGCUCCUGCCUACCCUUCAGGAGGAAGUUAUUAUCAUUGUUAUUUAUUGGGAAGGAUCAUAUCUUCCCAGGUCAGGAACAGGAGAGCAUUGUGAAGUCAGUUAAGUAUCACUGUCUCCAUUUUACAGAUGAGUAAAUCAGGGUGUAUUGAGUCAUCACAAUGAAUUGUUAUCACAGCUGGGAAUAGAACGCAGGAAUCCUGACUUCCAUGCCCAGUCCCACCUGUUCUCACCAGUAGGUCACAUAUCCUCCCAGCUGUGGAAAUAGAACUCAGAAGUCCUGACUCCCAGUCCCGUUGUGCUGAAACCCUAGAGAACACUUUAUUUAAAUGGGGAUAGGCCAGUGGUUUUCAACCUUUUUUCAUUUGCAGACCCCCUAAAACAUUUCAAAUGGAGAUGUGGACCCCUUUGGAAAUCUUAGACAUAGUCUAUGGAUCCCCAGGUGUCCAUAGACCACAGGUUGGUUGAAAACCACUGGUAUAGGCAGUAGAUGACUCCUGUUGUCUCUGACACACCCAAGUGGCCUGAUCCUGCUGGAAGUCAAUGGCAAAACUCCCAUUGUGGUCUAUAGUCGCCUCCACUUCUCCCUGGAGGUGCAGUAAAGGUCACCAGGUUUCCCAGUGGUGCCUCCCUUCAUUCCUGCACUCUGCUCCCCUUCCCAGGCUUGGGAAGCCAAUCAGUCUCACAGCUUUGCAAGGACUGGGGGCAGCCAGAAACUGGGACUAGGCAACAGGGGAUGGAUCACUCGAUAAAUUGCCCUGUUCUGUUCAUUCCCUCUGAAGCACCUGGCAUUGGCCACUGUCGGACAACAGGAAACUGGGCUAGAUGGACCAUUGGGCUGACCUAGUAUGGCCGUUCAAGGAGGCUCCUUGGCCACAGUUCUAAAACCAGCUUGACAACUUGCUGUUAUUUGUUCAAGAAGUGGUGACUGGGGAAGGGGAAAGCACUGUGGUGGCCUCCCAGCCUGUCCCCUUUUCCUGGCGUGGCUCAGUUGGCCACAUUAGGUGGUUUAUAAAAUUCAUAACAACAUACUGGCCAAUUACAAGUCCUCAGGUCUUUCUGGCUCUGCUUCCGCUCCUUGACCUGGGCUGCCCUG